UAAAGAGUACUAUGAUUACGAAUUCCAAAUUAGUUUACCAAUUUAAUUCCUAAAUAACAUGCCCUCCCCACCAUCAGCUCUAUCCUCACCCGUUUGAUCGACUCUGAGCCCAACCACAUGCCCUCCCCAACCUACAUCACUCGGUUCCGCGACUGUACAAUAGAUAUCAUCGCCCGCCAGGACUCCAUCAACUGGAUCCUAAAUGUCCACGCCCACCACCGCUUUUCUCCCCUCACCGCCUUCCUCUCCGUCAACUACUUCGACCGCUUCCUCUCCUCCCACUCUCUCCCGCGACAUAGCGGGUCGUGGCCGUCUAAGCUGCUGUCCGUCGCGUGUUUGUCUUUAGCCGCUAAAAUGGGGGAGCCAAAGGUCCAGUUCAUCCUGGACCUCCAAAUCUUCGAGCCCAAGUUUGUCUUCGACCCCAAAACGGUCCAGCGGAUGGAGCUCCGGGUCAUGUGGAUUCUCAAUUGGAGGCUCCGAUCCAUCACCCCCUUCGAUUUCCUCCACCAUUUUGUCUCCGACCUCUCCUCUUCGUCCUCCUCUCUCCUCUCAGCCUCCUCCGAUUUAGUUCUCAGCACCAUUCGUGUGAUUGACUUCUUGGGUUUCUCUCCAUCGACGAUUGCGGGGGCGGCUGUGCUCUGCGCCGCCGGUUUAAGCGUCGAUUUUGUGGCCGAUGGAGAUCGCCAAGGGGCGCCGUUUUUCUACGAGAGAGUGAACAAAGUAUAGUAUUUGCCGGGAAUUGGAUCCCAUCCGGAUCCAUUUUGUGGGAAUUGUAGAUAUCUCAAGGAUUCCUAGUGGAUUUGCACAGGAUCCUCCUCAUAUCUGAAGCGGGUGUAGGAAGCUUGCAAAAUUUACCUUCUAGACAACUUUGACACAUUACAGGACUAGAGGUUUUAGGGAAUACAACAUUGGAUUUAUGCAGCAUGUGAGACACUACAGAAUUAGACGGAUGUCCUAGUCUAUUAUGCCAGGUGAUGUGGUUAACAAACUGACCAAGAAGAGCUUUAUUAUGAACCAGGCCUUGAGAAGCUGGAGGACAAACAUUGGCAAGGGAAGAGAUGGGGUAUAGACCAUUAUUGCACAGUCUUUUGUAGAGGAUCAUCCUUGUGGCCUUGUCCUGGAUCCAAAAACAGAAGGCAUCAAAGAUAAGCCAACAGUUAUUGUCUAAGCAGAGUUUGUGAACUGAUAACAAAUUCUAUGAUACUUUAGGCACAUAUAAAACAGAAUUCAACUUGAUCGCCAUAGGAUGUGUGGCUGAGAUUUUACCAUGUGUAUGAAUAUUGGAGAGGCAGUUAGUUAGUUAAGUUGUUAGAGAUAGUGAGAAGUGUAUAUAUACUGAUAUGUGUACUUGUAUGGUUGUUAAGAAAGUAAAUAUACAAGAGUUUUCAUUUUCUCUCUCUCUAAAUUCUCUGAAUCUCUUCUCUAUCUUACUACAUUUCUGUAGGUUUACAUGGUAUCAAUCGCCAUGAAAGCUCACGCUUGAUCUCGAUCUUCGUCUUCCGCCGCUCUGAUACUUCGAUCGAUCUUGGUGUUCUUGCUUCUUGUUUCUGGUUCUUGAUCGGUUUUACUUCGCCUGCUCUCUACUCUAGGGUUUUCUUCGUCCCUAAGGCUCUGCAACUGUGAUUUCGGUUGCGACUUCGUCUUCUCCACUUUGUGCACUCCAGGUGUUUGUUGUGUGUUCUCAGUGAUUUUUUCUGCCAAAUUACAGCCGUCAUAUAGCAACAAUGGUAACUGCUUCUCAAUUACAGCUUCUUCAAUCACCAAUAACUGCAUUGGUUUCUUCGAUCUCUACUUCGGUGAAUGUUAAACUGGAUGAUUCGAAUUAUCUAAAUUGGCAUUUUCAAAUGAAAUUACUGCUUGAAAGUAAUGGAAUCCUAGGGUUUGUUGAUGGCUCGCAUCCCUGUCCUGUUCGAUUUACAUCUCCAUCUGGAGAAUCUGGUACCAAUUCAUCCCAUUCAUCAUCGUCCUCUGUUAAUGAUGAGUAUCUAGUUUGGAUGAUGCAUGAUAAAGCCCUGAUGCAAUUAAUUACUGCGUCGUUGAGCCCGGUGGCUAUGUCCUGUGCUAUUGGAAGCACUAGUUCACGGGAUCUCUGGAUUCGAUUACAAGAACAAUUUUCCACUGUCUCAAAGACUAGCAUAUUUCAGAUGAAAUCGAAUCUGCAAAAAUUAGAAAGGGCUUUGAUUCUAUUACUCAGUAUUUACAGAAGAUAAAAGAAGCUAGAGAUUAUCUUUCUGCUGCUGGGGUUUUGUUUCUUGAUGAAGACAUCGUUAUGCUUGCAUUGAAUGGCUUACCAGCAGAGUACAAUACAUUCCGGACUGUGAUAAGGGGGCGUGAAAGUGUCAUAUCUUUGAAAGAAUUUCGGACAUAGUUGCUUGCUGAAGAAGCCAUUCUCGAGUCCUCUGUUAAUGCACCGUUUAUGACAGCCAUGGUUGCUAAUGCUUCACCUCAGCGAGGGCCACCUCAAUCUGGUUUUGUAUCUGGUGGUUUCAAGCAGUUCACUGCCAAUAAGAACAAGGGCAAAGGUCGAUUUAAUCAACACUCCAGAGGUUUUUCCCCUAGACAGUACAUGCCUACUCAAACUCAUGUGCUUCAAACUCCAAGUCCUGGUAUACUUGGUCAGUUUCCAUAUACGCAACAGCCUAUUCCUUCUGCGCCACCUGAGAAGCCAAGAUGUCAAAUUUGUGGGAGGUUCAAUCACAAUACUUGGUUUUGCUUCUAUAAUGAGAAGGGUCCUAAUUAUAUUGGUGGAGCUCACUUGACUUCCUCUCCAAUGUCUUCACAUUCACAGCAAGGGUAUCAAUUUUCUCCGGUUGAUGCUUAUGCACAACACAGGCCUCACUCACCGUUUCCUGGACAACAAGCUUCAUCCCAGGUUCCAUUACAUGCCUAUCAUACUAUGGUUUCACAACCAAAUCCGUCACAUGCGUCUCCAUCUCCUUCCCAAGUGUGGAUCACGGACUCUGGCGCAACCAAUCAUAUGACUGCCGAUCUCUCCACCUUAUCUCUGGCUUCUCCGUAUCCCACUACUGAGGUUAUUCAGACCGCCAAUGGUGAAGGUUUGCAUGUAUCUCAUAUUGGUAACGCUGUUAUCAAGCCUUCCAUACAUCCUAUCAAGUUGAAUUCUGUUUUAUAUGUGCCUAAAGUAUCACAGAAUUUGUUAUCAGUUCACAAACUCUGCUUAGACAAUAACUGUUGGCUUAUCUUUAAUGCCUUCUGUUUUUGGAUCCAGGACAAGGCCACAGGGAUGAUCCUCUACAAAGGACUGUGCAGUAAUGGUCUAUACCCCAUCUCUUCCCUCGCCAAUGUUUGUCCUCCAGCUUCUCAAAGCCUGGUUCAUAAUAAAGCUCUUCUUAGUCAGUUUGUUAACCACAUCACCUGGCAUAAUAGACUAGGACAUCCGUCUAAUUCUGUAGUGUCUCACAUGCUGCAUAAAUCCAAUGUUGUAUUCCCUAAAACCUCUAGUCCUGUAAUGUGUCAAAGCUGUCUAGAAGGUAAAUUUUGCAAGCUUCCUUUUUCACCAAGUGUCAAUAAAUCCGUCAUUCCUUUUGAAGUGGUGCAUAGUGAUCUUUGGGGUCCUGCACCUUGUGUGUCUGUGGAUGGAUAUAGGUACUAUGUUACCUUUAUUGAUGAAUGUACCAAGUACUCUUGGAUAUUUCCCUUGGUGAAUAAAUCAGAUCUUUGUGCUA